AGCGAACGCUGGCGGCAGGCCUAACACAUGCAAGUCGAACGAAGUCUUCGGACUUAGUGGCGGACGGGUGAGUAACACGUGAGAACGUACCUUUUGGUUCGGAACAACUCAGAGAAACUUGAGCUAAUACCGGAUGAGCCCUUAGGGGGAAAGAUUUAUCGCCGAAAGAGCGGCCCGCGUUAGAUUAGCUAGUUGGUGAGGUAAAGGCUCACCAAGGCUACGAUCUAUAGCUGGUCUGAGAGGAUGAUCAGCCACACUGGGACUGAGACACGGCCCAGACUCCUACGGGAGGCAGCAGUGGGGAAUCUUGCGCAAUGGGCGAAAGCUUGACGCAGCCAUGCCGCGUGAAUGAUGAAGGUCUUAGGAUUGUAAAAUUCUUUUACCAGGGACGAUAAUGACGGUACCUGGAGAAAAAGCCCCGGCUAACUUCGUGCCAGCCGCCGCGGUAAAAC
rnacentral:rRNA from 1 species